rnacentral:lncRNA from 1 species
AGUUACUAAAUCCGGGUUAAGUCCCGAAGGCAUUUGUGCGAGUUACUAUAACCGGGCUAUGUCCCGAAGGCAUUUGAACGAGUAGCUAUAUUCGGUUAAAUUCCGAAGGUACGUGAUUUGGGAAUGAAUGAUCUUGCUGUAAAAAUUUCAGUUAAUACGCUUGUAACAUCCCAACAUUGAGGUAUGUUUCGUAUGUGCUUUGAAUUAGUUGAGCCCUUAAAAAUAAGUAUUCGCUC